CCUACGGGUGGCAGCAGUGGGGAAUAUUGGACAAUGGGCGAAAGCCUGAUCCAGCCAUGCCGCGUGUGUGAAGAAGGCCUUCGGGUUGUAAAGCACUUUCAGUGGGGAAGAAAGCCUUGGGGCUAAUACCCUCGAGGAAGGACAUCACCCACAGAAGAAGCACCGGCUAACUCCGUGCCAGCAGCCGCGGUAAUACGGAGGGUGCGAGCGUUAAUCGGAAUUACUGGGCGUAAAGCGCGCGUAGGCGGUCUGAUAAGCCGGUUGUGAAGGCCCCGGGCUCAACCUGGGAACGACAUCCGGAACUGUCAGGCUAGAGUGCAGGAGAGGAAGGUAGAAUUCCCGGUGUAGCGGUGAAAUGCGUAGAGAUCGGGAGGAAUACCAGUGGCGAAGGCGGCCUUCUGGACUGACACUGACGCUGAGGUGCGAAAGCGUGGGUAGCAAACAGGAUUAGAUACCCGGGUAGUC
rnacentral:rRNA from 1 species